rfam:Triticum aestivum genome assembly, contig: Triticum_aestivum_CS42_TGACv1_scaffold_020281_1AS
GAAGUACUCCCUCCGUUCCAAAUUACUCGUCGUAGAAAUGGACGUAUCUACAUUUAGAUACGUCCAUUUCUACGACGAGUAAUUUGGAACGGAGGGAGUAGAUA